rnacentral:rRNA from 1 species
GUGGGGAAUAUUGGACAAUGGGCGCAAGCCUGAUCCAGCCAUGCCGCGUGAGUGAUGAAGGCCCUAGGGUUGUAAAGCUCUUUCACCGGAGAAGAUAAUGACGGUAUCCGGAGAAGAAGCCCCGGCUAACUUCGUGCCAGCAGCCGCGGUAAUACGAAGGGGGCUAGCGUUGUUCGGAUUUACUGGGCGUAAAGCGCACGUAGGCGGAUCGAUCAGUCAGGGGUGAAAUCCCAGAGCUCAACUCUGGAACUGCCUUUGAUACUGUCGAUCUGGAGUAUGGAAGAGGUGAGUGGAAUUCCGAGUGUAGAGGUGAAAUUCGUAGAUAUUCGGAGGAACACCAGUGGCGAAGGCGGCUCACUGGUCCAUUACUGACGCUGAGGUGCGAAAGCGUGGGGAGCAAACAGG